GUGAGGAAUAUUGGUCAAUGGGCGGGAGCCUGAACCAGCCAAGUCGCGUGAAGGAAGAAGGAUCUAUGGUUCGUAAACUUCUUUUGCAGGGGAAUAAAGUGCAGGACGUGUCCUGUUUUGUAUGUACCCUGAGAAUAAGGAUCGGCUAACUCCGUGCCAGCAGCCGCGGUAAUACGGAGGAUCCGAGCGUUAUCCGGAUUGAUUGGGUUUAAAGGGUGCGUAGGUGGUUUGAUAAGUCAGCGGUGAAAGUUUGCAGCUUAACUGUAAAAAUGCCGUUGAAACUGUCGGACUUGAGUGUAAAUGAGGUAGGCGGAAUGCGUGGUGUAGCGGUGAAAUGCAUAGAUAUCACGCAGAACUCCGAUUGCGAAGGCAGCUUACUAAGCUACAACUGACACUGAAGCACGAAAGCGUGGGGAUCAAACAGGAUUAGAUACCCCUGUAGUCC
rnacentral:rRNA from 1 species